AUGAUUCUUCAACCUUUAGGCAAAGGCCAGAGGAUGCCAGCAGCAUCCCCAGGUUUCUUACUUGCAGGUAAAUGGAGACUUUUAAUUUCUAGCCUCAAUGCUUUCCUACCAUAUCAUGAACAAAAAUUCCACCUCACCAGCACCCUGAAUGGGAGAAAGCCUCUCAGCAGAGUUUCAGUAUAGUACAGAACUCCCUUUGUAGAAGAUUUUCUUCAUACUCUUACCCCAAAGAUGACUGACACAAGAAAGCUUCUACCCCCUGUCUCCAGGAGCUCGAUACUCACCCUGUUACACACCAGUAAGAGAAGGCUGCUGCAGCAAGAGACAAAUUGUGAUUUGCCUUAAAAGAGAUACUGUAAGGAUAGAGUGCAGUAAAACUUCAUCCUCUACAGGGCAAUAAACAAAAGCAAGACAAAUCAAACAAAAUACAACAAAGAAGUGCAGAUAUUAUCAAUUUAAUCCUUCAUUAUGCUGAAUCCUAUGAUUCUGGCUGAGGACACAUUGAAACAGUAGAAAAAUGAUGAUUAUGUUUUGAUUGAUAUUUAAGGACUCAAUAGAUAAUUAAUCCAAACUUUAUCAAGUAGUUUUCAACCAAACAACAUGAAGUACACUUCCCAGAGUUUCAUCAUAUAUACA